rnacentral:rRNA from 1 species
GAUUAACGCUGGCGGCGUGCAUAACACAUGCAAGUCGAACGAUGAAACUUAAAUGAUUUCUUCGGAAUGAACUUAAGUGGAUUAGUGGCGGACGGGUGAGUAACGCGUGAGUAACCUGCCUUACACAAGGGGAUAGCCGUUGGAAACGACGAAUAAUACCCUAUGAUGUUUCUAUCUCGCAUGAGAUAUUAACCAAAGUGUUAGCGGUGUAAGAUGGACUUGCGUCUGAUUAGCUAGUUGGUGAGAAAAAAGCCCACCAAGGCAACGAUCAGUAGCCGGCUUGAGAGAGUGUACGGCCACAUUGGGACUGAGACACGGCCCAGACUCCUACGGGAGGCAGCAGUGGGGAAUUUUGCACAAUGGGGGAAACCCUGAUGCAGCGACGCCGCGUGAUUUAGAAGGCCUUCGGGUUGUAAAAAUCUUUUGUAUAGGAAGAAAAUGACAGUACUAUACGAAUAAGGUCCGGCUAAUUACGU